UACGGAGGGGGGCUAGCGUUUGUUCGGAAUUACUGGGCGUAAAGCGCACGUAGGCGGCUUUGUAAGUUAGAGGUGAAAGCCCGGAGCUCAACUCCGGAAUUGCCUUUAAGACUGCAUCGCUAGAACGUCGGAGAGGUGAGUGGAAUUCCGAGUGUAGAGGUGAAAUUCGUAGAUAUUCGGAAGAACACCAGUGGCGAAGGCGACUCACUGGACGACUGUUGACGCUGAGGUGCGAAAGCGUGGGGAGCAAACAGG
rnacentral:rRNA from 1 species